AUGGAGGGAAAACAACAAUGGGACAUGGUGGACCCUGGAUUCAAGCUUUGCGCUCCAGUUCUAAAGAGAGCAGCAGGUAGACCAAGGAAGAGUCGAAUCAGACCUCGCAGCGAAGGAGCUGGACUUGGAGCGAGGAAGCGUAAGUGCACAAGGUGUGGUGGGUCUGGUCAUUUCGGUAAGUAUUGUGAUAACACAGUAGAUCCAGCGUUCGGAGAGAGUUUCGAUGAAGGCUUCGAUGAAAAUGUUGGUCAGCAGUCGGUUGCCUCAACAGAUGAUGAAAAUGAUGGUCAACAGCCGGUUGCAUCAGAUGAGGAUUUUGACGAUGUUCCAAAUGAUGAUGGUCAA
rnacentral:rRNA from 1 species